rnacentral:rRNA from 1 species
AGGGUGCUAGCGUUGCUCGGAAUCACUGGGCGUAAAGGGUGCGUAGGCGGGGCUUUAAGUCAGGGGUGAAAUCCUGGAGCUCAACUCCAGAACUGCCUUUGAUACUGAAGAUCUUGAGUCCGGGAGAGGUGAGUGGAACUGCGAGUGUAGAGGUGAAAUUCGUAGAUAUUCGCAAGAACACCAGUGGCGAAGGCGGCUCACUGGCCCGGUACUGACGCUGAGGCACGAAAGCGUGGGGAGCAAACAGG